rnacentral:rRNA from 1 species
GAUGAACGCUGGCGGCGUGCCUAAUACAUGCAAGUCGAGCGAACGGACGAGAAGCUUGCUUCUCUGAUGUUAGCGGCGGACGGGUGAGUAACACGUGGAUAACCUACCUAUAAGACUGGGAUAACUUCGGGAAACCGGAGCUAAUACCGGAUAAUAUUUUGAACCGCAUGGUUCAAAAGUGAAAGACGGUCUUGCUGUCACUUAUAGAUGGAUCCGCGCUGCAUUAGCUAGUUGGUAAGGUAACGGCUUACCAAGGCAACGAUGCAUAGCCGACCUGAGAGGGUGAUCGGCCACACUGGAACUGAGACACGGUCCAGACUCCUACGGGAGGCAGCAGUAGGGAAUCUUCCGCAAUGGGCGAAAGCCUGACGGAGCAACGCCGCGUGAGUGAUGAAGGUCUUCGGAUCGUAAAACUCUGUUAUUAGAGAAGAACAUAUGUGUAAGUAACUGUGCACAUCUUGACGGUACCUAAUCAGAAAGCCACGGCUAACUACGUGCCAGCAGCCGCGGUAAUACGUAGGUGGCAAGCGUUAUCCGGAAUUAUUGGGCGUAAAGCGCGCGUAGGCGGUUUUUUAAGUCUGAUGUGAAAGCCCACGGCUCAACCGUGGAGGGUCAUUGGAAACUGGAAAACUUGAGUGCAGAAGAGGAAAGUGGAAUUCCAUGUGUAGCGGUGAAAUGCGCAGAGAUAUGGAGGAACACCAGUGGCGAAGGCGACUUUCUGGUCUGUAACUGACGCUGAUGUGCGAAAGCGUGGGGAUCAAACAGGAUUAGAUACCCUGGUAGUCCACGCCGUAAACGAUGAGUGCUAAGUGUUAGGGGGUUUCCGCCCCUUAGUGCUGCAGCUAACGCAUUAAGCACUCCGCCUGGGGAGUACGACCGCAAGGUUGAAACUCAAAGGAAUUGACGGGGACCCGCACAAGCGGUGGAGCAUGUGGUUUAAUUCGAAGCAACGCGAAGAACCUUACCAAAUCUUGACAUCCUUUGACAACUCUAGAGAUAGAGCUUUCCCCUUCGGGGGACAAAGUGACAGGUGGUGCAUGGUUGUCGUCAGCUCGUGUCGUGAGAUGUUGGGUUAAGUCCCGCAACGAGCGCAACCCUUAAGCUUAGUUGCCAUCAUUAAGUUGGGCACUCUAAGUUGACUGCCGGUGACAAACCGGAGGAAGGUGGGGAUGACGUCAAAUCAUCAUGCCCCUUAUGAUUUGGGCUACACACGUGCUACAAUGGACAAUACAAAGGGCAGCGAAACCGUGAGGUCAAGCAAAUCCCAUAAAGUUGUUCUCAGUUCGGAUUGUAGUCUGCAACUCGACUACAUGAAGCUGGAAUCGCUAGUAAUCGUAGAUCAGCAUGCUACGGUGAAUACGUUCCCGGGUCU